rnacentral:rRNA from 1 species
AUUGAACGCUGGCGGCAUGCCUUACACAUGCAAGUCGAACGGCAGCACGGGAGCAAUCCUGGUGGCGAGUGGCGAACGGGUGAGUAAUAUAUCGGAACGUGCCCGGUCGUGGGGAUAACGUAGCGAAAGCUACGCUAAUACCGCAUACGAUCUACGGAUGAAAGCGGGGGAUCGCAAGACCUCGCGCGAUUGGAGCGGCCGAUAUCAGAUUAGGUAGUUGGUGAGGUAAAGGCUCACCAAGCCGACGAUCUGUAGCUGGUCUGAGAGGACGACCAGCCACACUGGGACUGAGACACGGCCCAGACUCCUACGGGAGGCAGCAGUGGGGAAUUUUGGACAAUGGGCGCAAGCCUGAUCCAGCAAUGCCGCGUGCAGGAUGAAGGCCUCGGUUGUAAAC